rnacentral:lncRNA from 1 species
CUAUGUGAUUUAAAUCAUUUUCUGUAGGUUAGUCCACUAUCGUUAUUAUGAGGUAGAAAAUUGAUGAUUCUAUAAAGACAAGAAAGAGCCGGUGGUGGCUCUACAUCAGUGUAAGCCGUGGUGACUAUUAUUUAUGUAGAGUACUUUCAACAACAACACCCUGCAGCUUCUGAAGAAGGGGGGCUUCCUAUGAGCUUGGUCAAGGAUAGUCAACACGGAGAUUGAGUAGCAGGGAGACAUGGAGAAAGAAUUGUGAAAUUUUAAAAAAUAAAAUAUAAACGUGUAUUUCUGUGCCAGUAUUAAUUGAAUUCCAUGCAAUAAUCAUUCAGGAAUCGUUGCUAGGAAAUCAGCGGCUACUAGUCUAGCUGAGUUCAGACAGGAAUGUGUCAUUCAUACAAUACAAACAGGGAAGGGCUUUGAAGAGCAUGAAACUGGGCUCUGUCCAAUUCUAUUCAAGGAAACAUAGUGCAGGGUUUUUUAGACACAGCUAAGGUGAAAAAUCUUUCCCAAGGUGAUCUAAUUUCCAGGGUGGUGACCUGGAGCGCCACCCAUGGGUCUCAUUUCGUCUGCCCAGCCGGUCACUGCUGUCCCUUACAGCUGUUGUCUGGCUUCUGACCCAAGACCUGGCUGCUGUGUGUCUGGGACCAGAGUGAUGGCUGAGUUGGGAGGAAAAUGACAUCUUUUUAGAGAGGAACUUGGAAAGUGAAUUUCAUCCCCCCCAAAAGCCACCCUUUGGAAUUGAUUGGGGCUCAGAGGAAGACCCCAACUCAUCACUUGAGAGCCUAGCCCCACCCAGCCUCUUCUUGCUCUCCUAGCCCACACUCCUUUCCUUGUAGCACAAACCACCAGUCAGUCUCUUCUGUGUUUAAGGAUUUAUAUG